rnacentral:rRNA from 1 species
GACGAACGCUGGCGGCGUGCUUAACACAUGCAAGUCGAACGGAAAGGCCCUGCUUUUGUGGGGUGCUCGAGUGGCGAACGGGUGAGUAACACGUGAGUAACCUGCCCUUGACUUUGGGAUAACUUCAGGAAACUGGGGCUAAUACCGGAUAGGAGCUCCUGCUGCAUGGUGGGGGUUGGAAAGUUUCGGCGGUUGGGGAUGGACUCGCGGCUUAUCAGCUUGUUGGUGGGGUAGUGGCUUACCAAGGCUUUGACGGGUAGCCGGCCUGAGAGGGUGACCGGCCACAUUGGGACUGAGAUACGGCCCAGACUCCUACGGGAGGCAGCAGUGGGGAAUAUUGCACAAUGGGCGGAAGCCUGAUGCAGCAACGCCGCGUGCGGGAUGACGGCCUUCGGGUUGUAAACCGCUUUCGCCUGUGACGAAGCGUGAGUGACGGUAAUGGGUAAAGAAGCACCGGCUAACUACGUGCCAGCAGCCGCGGUGAUACGUAGGGUGCGAGCGUUGUCCGGAUUUAUUGGGCGUAAAGGGCUCGUAGGUGGUUGAUCGCGUCGGAAGUGUAAUCUUGGGGCUUAACCCUGAGCGUGCUUUCGAUACGGGUUGACUUGAGGAAGGUAGGGGAGAAUGGAAUUCCUGGUGGAGCGGUGGAAUGCGCAGAUAUCAGGAGGAACACCAGUGGCGAAGGCGGUUCUCUGGGCCUUUCCUGACGCUGAGGAGCGAAAGCGUGGGGAGCGAACAGGCUUAGAUACCCUGGUAGUCCACGCUGUAAACGGUGGGUACUAGGUGUGGGGUCCAUUCCACGGGUUCCGUGCCGUAGCUAACGCUUUAAGUACCCCGCCUGGGGAGUACGGCCGCAAGGCCAAAACUCAAAGGAAUUGACGGGGCCCCGCACAAGCGGCGGAGCAUGCGGAUUAAUUCGAUGCAACGCGUAGAACCUUACCUGGGUUUGACAUGGAUCGGGAGUGCUCAGAGAUGGGUGUGCCUCUUUUGGGGUCGGUUCACAGGUGGUGCAUGGCUGUCGUCAGCUCGUGUCGUGAGAUGUUGGGUUAAGUCCCGCAACGAGCGCAACCCUUGUUCACUGUUGCCAGCACGUUAUGGUGGGGACUCAGUGGAGACCGCCGGGGUCAACUCGGAGGAAGGUGGGGAUGACGUCAAGUCAUCAUGCCCCUUAUGUCCAGGGCUUCACGCAUGCUACAAUGGCUGGUACAGAGAGUGGCGAGCCUGUGAGGGUGAGCGAAUCUCGGAAAGCCGGUCUCAGUUCGGAUUGGGGUCUGCAACUCGACCUCAUGAAGUCGGAGUCGCUAGUAAUCGCAGAUCAGCAACGCUGCGGUGAAUACGUUCCCGGG